rnacentral:rRNA from 1 species
AUGGAAAAUCAGCAAUGUUCCCUAUUUUAUUACAACUUAUGUUGUUUUUCCAUGGCAACUUUUUUUUCUGUUCGGAGUAUUUUUCGCAUGCCAACUAAGAAAUCAUCUAAAGUUGCCAUGGCAACUUUGGAUUAUUUUUCCACACGCCGACUAACAAAUCAUCUAAAGUUUGCCAUGGAAACUUUUAAUACGACAACUUCAAAUGUGCGCCAUGCCAACUUAAGAUAUGUUGCCAUGGCAAAAAUUAAACCAUUUUUCAAUUGCAAAUUUUACUCCAUUUUAUGCCAUGGCAAACUUCUUUAA